rnacentral:rRNA from 1 species
GAUGAACGCUGGCGGCGUGCCUAAUACAUGCAAGUCGAGCGAACAGACGAGGAGCUUGCUCCUCAGACGUUAGCGGCGGACGGGUGAGUAACACGUGGAUAACAUACCUAUAAGACUGGGAUAACUUCGGGAACCCGGAGCUAAUACCGGAUAAUAUAUUGAACCGCAUGGUUCGAUAGUGAAAGACGGUUUUGCUGUCACUUAUAGAUGGAACCGAGCCGCAUUAGCUAGUUGGUUAGGUAACGGCUUACCAAGGCAACGAUGCGUAGCCGACCAGUGAGAGUGUCCGUACACACUGGGACAGAGACACGGGCCAGACUCCGACGGGGAGCAGCAGUAGGGAAUCUUCCGCGAUGGGCGAAAGCCAUACUGAGCAACGCCGCGUGAGUGAUGAAGGUCUUCGGAUCUGAAAACACUGUUAUUAGGGAAGAACAAAUGUGUAAGUAACUAUGCACGUCUUGACGGUACCUGAUCAGAAAGCCACGGCUAACUACGUG